GCCGAAGUGGCUCAGGGGUAGAGCAGCUGAUUCGUAAUCAGCAGGUCAGGGGUUCAAAUCCCCUCUUCGGCUCCA
rnacentral:tRNA from 1 species